rnacentral:rRNA from 1 species
AUUGAACGCUGGCGGCGGGCCUAACACAUGCAAGUCGAACGAGUAGCGGACGGGUGAAUAGGGUAUUAGAACCUGCCUGAUGGAGGGGUAUGACUACUGGAACCGUUAGCUAAUACCGCAUACCAUCGGAUGUGCCCAGAUUGGAUUAGGUACUAGGGGGGGUAAAGGCUAACCUAGGCGACGAUCCCUAGCUGGUCUGAGAGGGUGACCAGCCACACUGGAACGGAGACACGGUCCAGACUCCUACGGGAGGCAGCAGUGGGGAAUCUUGCACAAUGGGCGAAAGCCUGAUGGAGCAACGCCGCGUGUAUGAAGAAGGCCUUCGGGUUGUAAAGUACUGUCAUCGGGGAGGCGUUACCUACAGAAGAAGCACCGGCUAACUCCGUGCCAGCCGCCGCGGUAAUAC